rnacentral:rRNA from 1 species
AUGUCGUCGCCGUCCGGGAAGGUGAAGGAAGCGAUAGUGGGCGAGCAGUUCUUGGCGACGUUGGCGACGCACCCGACGAAGUUGACGGUGACCAAGUUGUACACCCCAAACGGGCCGAGAUUCACCUUCAAGAACUCCGCCGGCGGCGAGGCCAUGCUGGAGGUGGAGUCCCGCAUGGGCUUCAUGAGCCUACGCUCACACCAAUUCCUCGACGCCACAUCAGCCCAACCGGUGAUCCAUCUCCAGGAGACCGGCCUUGAGGAGCGUAAGUGGGAGGCGUACAGGGGCAACAGCACGAGAGAAAGCGACAAGAUCUUCGACGCCGUGAACAAGUCAUGGUAUUUCUUCCUGAUGGGGACCAAGAUCGAAGUGUUCCUCCGCAAGUCCUCCGACGAGCCGAAACCAGCAGGCGUCCUCGUCGAUGGCAACUCCUCCGGCGGCAUGCAGAAACCAGCAGACUUCGUCGUCCUUGGCAACUACUACCGCGGCGGGCUAACCGUUUUCCGCGGCUGCGGCUGCGUCCUCGCCGGCCACGACAUUGCGCAGAUCAACAGGGUGAGCCGCCUGUUCAAGUGUAGUGAGAUGGGUGGAGAGCACACGUACGAUGUCAGUGUCAAGCCGGGCGAAGACCAGGCGUUCGUCCUCGCACUCACCGUGAUUCUCGACCAGAUGUAUAAUGACGAUCGUGUUGUACGUUAUUCUACCCAGCGUUAG